CCUACGGGUGGCUGCAGUGGGGAAUAUUGGACAAUGGGCGAAAGCCUGAUCCAGCCAUGCCGCGUGUGUGAAGAAGGCCUUCGGGUUGUAAAGCACUUUCAGUGGGGAAGAAAGCCUUGGGGCUAAUACCCUCGAGGAAGGACAUCACCCACAGAAGAAGCACCGGCUAACUCCGUGCCAGCAGCCGCGGUAAUACGGAGGGUGCGAGCGUUAAUCGGAAUUACUGGGCGUAAAGCGCGCGUAGGCGGUCUGAUAAGCCGGUUGUGAAAGCCCCGGGCUCAACCUGGGAACGGCAUCCGGAACUGUCAGGCUAGAGUGCAGGAGAGGAAGGUAGAAUUCCCGGUGUAGCGGUGAAAUGCGUAGAGAUCGGGAGGAAUACCAGUGGCGAAGGCGGCCUUCUGGACUGACAUUGACGCUGAGGUGCGAAAGCGUGGGUAGCAAACAGGAUUAGAUACCCCAGUAGUC
rnacentral:rRNA from 1 species